CGUCGCCGCCUCUGGGGAGAGGAGGAGGAAGAGGGGGAGAAGGCAGGUCCUGCUGUACCCCAGAGGCCACCUCGGGUUUCCUCCCACUGUCCAAGCUGCUUAGUGUUUACGACGCCGGAGAAACCACCGCAGUCCUCGAUUUGUGUGGACCGACAGCCCCAUCCCACAAGACUUGUUGUCCUCUAUUUUCAGCGGGUACGAUGGGACCCCACUAGGCUUCGACGGUCACGAUUAAGAUUUUGAGUAAGAUUUUGAUGCUGUUCAAAUACCCUUCGCUCUUGCCCCUGGUUUCCACCAAAGUUACCACCGUACUACUACUAACAUUGUAGAAAUUUACUUUAUCAAAGUCUUCUUUGCAACUUACACCAAUUAAAUGAAGUACCUCUGACCUUAAAUGACAAGGGAGCCCCCCUUUUAUCCCAACGUUUCCCCCCAUAGAUAAAUAAAAAUAAUUUGAGGCUUAGAUUGUCUAAUAUUGUAACAGUUGCAGGAACACAAUGGACUAUCCACACACCUCAGUUCAUUGGCAUUUCCGUGUUUCAUCUGCACUUGUGAGUUGCCCUCUUAGUCUCGGAUGAGAGCCUCAGAUUCCCACAGAGAAUAUCUGAGGUCUCCAAACGAGGUAAUAGUCCUCAAAGGGUCUGUGAAUAGGUUGGAACGAAGACACUUCAAACAAGAGUAUUUAAGAAAUGCCUAACAUUAUGUUGAACUCCAAACGGUGCUUGUUCAAGGAACAUUCAUUUUCUAAACUUUAAGAGUAUGCAUUUAUUGCCUUAAAACCAAAGCAAACAAAGGUUUGAUCAGUUGCAAAACUUCAGGCACCAAAAUAGAAAUAUAAAUCUUUUCAUAAAAAGUAACAUUUACUGAGCACUUAUGAAUUGCCAGGCGUCUGUACAUUAUCUUGUUUGAUUCUCACACUCUCUGAAGUAGUUUUCUUAUUAUCCAAACUUUACAGAUGGAAGAAAAGGGUGGGGGGACUUAAGUGACUGCAACUAAUAGUUUUGGGACAACACUGUCUUCCUUAAAAAGAAACUCUAAAUGUCUACUGUUUUCUCCACCCUCCUAUGUGCUUUUGUGAAAUUUGUGAAAUUCUAAAGCCACCUGACUACCAAGGGGUAGGGUCAGGAUGUAAACCCAGGCCUGUCCCAUUCUGUGAGUAUGAUGAGCAUUUAACUUAUAUUGUUUUGGAUCUGGAAUGUUCCCCAAAGUCUCCUCCAUUGAAGGCUUGAUCUCCAGUGCAGCAGUGUUUAACAGUUGGGCUUUUAUGAAGUGAUCUUAUCAUAGGGUUCUAACUUCAUCAGUGGAUUAUCCAUUGAUGGACUUGUAAUUUGAUGGCACUAUUGGGAGGUGGUAGAAAUCAUAGAAAGUGGGGGGUUUAGUUGAAGGGAAUGGGUCCCUGGAGCCAGCCCCUGGAGACUGUAUCUUGUUCCUUGUCUCUCUCUUCCUCUUGCUUCCCAGGUUGCCCUCAUUGCCUCCAAAAUGCCCUUCUGCCAUGAGGUUCUGCCUCACCUCAGGCCCAAAGCAAUGGGGUCAAUUGACUAUUGAUUGAAACGUCAGAAACCAUGAGCUGGAACAAAUCUUUCCUCCUUUGUGUUAUUUUCAUCAGGUAUUUUAUCACAGCAAUGAAAAGAUAAUGCAGGAAUCAUUUAUCUAAAAAAAAAAUCCUAAAGAUUUUUGUUUUUAUAUGUUACUAUAUAGAGAGAAAAGACCAGACAUGACCUGGCUUCUUGACUGGUGUACUCUGUAAGGAAUGUGACCUGACUCCUUGACGGGACAGUUUGGAUAUCUGUUUUUGAGAUUAAUAAAUUCUCAGUGGGGUUUAAAGUCAGAUCAUUUAGUUAUAUCUUCAUUCUGCAAUGCAAACUCCUAUAACUUGAGAGAUCUACUGACUGCCUAUGAUGUCAAAUCUUGAGCUGGCUUCUGGAGAAUAGGAAGAUAAUUUAGAGAUGGAACUCUAAUGUGGAAUUCUUUCUCUGGAAUAAAGUAAAUGUUUGCUGAACAAGUGAAAGAAAGGUUGGGACAUGUUGAAUGUUGUUCUCCAAGAAGAAGCAAGUAGAAAUCAGAGAGAAUAGCAAUCUGGAACUCAGGCAGAAGUAUGGGCAAGAGAAACAAAUGAGCUCUCAGCUGAUUCCUGGUACCUGGAAGGCCUGUGAGUGGAUUAUCAUCAGCUCACAAGUAGAACGAAGGAAAAGGUUUGAGGUCAGAACUUUGGACAGCGACCUCAUUUUCCAUUAAGCUGUAGGAUGAACCUUGGACCACAUAGCUAGGUGAGAAAAACUGUGGCAUAUCCCAACCCAGAAUGAAUCUCUGCAACCAUGUGAAUGAGUUUGUAAUAGCUAUUUCAGAACUAAGCUGCUGUAGAGACAGAAGCACUAUAAAUGCGGAUUUGUAAUCACGAUAUUGUGGAGCUUUAUCUUCUAAUAUGUAGAAAGUAGCAUUUUGAAUUUUGAAAGAAAAAGUUGGCAUGUUUUGAUAGAGGGCAUGGAAAUGAGUCAGAGAGGGUGGGGAGGAAGAGAGCCCACGCUUUGGGACACAGGCUAGAGAGCAUGACCCUGUGCAAUGAGGAUGCAACAGAAUCAAGGAGUCCUGGAGAGUUGGGUGUUGGAAAUGGUGACUGUACAUGUGUGGCUAUCGAUGGUGUACAACUGUCAUAGGAGCAGCAUGGUUCCCCCUUUUGCUCCAGGCUUGCUUGUCAAGAAUGAGACAAUUAAGGCAUAGAGCAACUUCCAGCACUCAUAGAUUUUAUUUUUUAUUUUUAUUGCCUGAUCAGGCUUUUACUAUGGAAAAAUCCCUUUGUUUGGAUACAAAUUUGAAACAACUUAUAGACUGCCUAUUAACCAUGGGCAUAUUUACAGAUCUGACUACCAAGCUUAAAUAACCCGGAGUGAGCAGAAGGGACUGGCUCUUUCCUGAAGGCAAGCAGGCUUGGAAUCCAGGGGGAAUGAAUGUAAACACUGAGGCCCAUCUGCCAGAAAUGCUCUGCCCCAGUCUUCUGAAUUGUGACCUAGGGACUUCUUUUGGAUGUUAACUACAUACAGGACCUGAGCCAUGUGCAGCUCCACUGAGCCAUAGCAGAGCCUUUUGCUUGCAGCCUUUGCUUUCAGUGGGCCCCUAUGAGUUAGUGUCAGCUGCAUGGCACAGGUGCUAAGUUCCUUACCCUUUAACACCCUUAACCAAGAGAGCAGCUAAACUCAACACUCACAGCAACUUUCAAGGCUAGUAAUGAGAGAAGACUACAUAACCUGAUCUGUAUAUCUGUUUCACUUAGUUACUAUACAUCCCAAGUAUUCCAUAAUAGCUAUCUUGAAAUGAGUCAGACCAUAAACUCUGAUUUUUUUUGUUAUUGUUCAGGAAAACAUGGUUUAAGGCAUAUUGGAGACCUCUAGUUCUCAUAUUCAUGGUCUAAGAACUGGGUUCUAGUCCAGCUCUGUCAUUUUCUAAUUAUAGAUCCUGACCAAGUUAUUUAUCUUUUUUGUACCUCAGUUUCUACAUCUAUAAAAUACAGAUUAUUUUCUUUAAAGAUGUUGUUCAAGGAUUAAAUAAGUGCCCCCAUAUAAAAAAGCGCAAUGCCUGCAGCACAAUAAUUCAACUAGAGAAUUAACUCAGCCUAGUAUUAAUUCAUAAGGCUUCAGAAUUGAGAGGUUUCUCCAAUUUUUCAACAUAUCCAAAUAACAAAGCGCAUUCUCACAGCACCAUCUUGUGUGCUUGUCUGCUGAGUAAGUGAGGAGAAGUCCAUGCACCUGAGAGUGGACAGUAACAUUUUAUAUUGUAGACUCAUAAAAAUAAGGUUUAUUUUUUCUCCACAGUAUUUUAUGAAGAUAAGAUAGGCUCUCAUUUAUUGGUGAUUAUGUGCAUCAUUAUGACAAUUUUUCAGCAAUGCACAUUAAGGAUGUUGAAAUAUGCUCGAAGAACAAAGUAAGGAAGAAUUACAUAGUAAAUAUUAAGAAAUAGUUUGGGGUUGGAAUAUUUGAAUCUGAGGAUAGGAAAGUUGAUAUCCACAUUUUAUGCUGUUCAACACUCAGUCCUACUUCUGUUAUCGAUAGCCUGAUUAUUCACUGGGUACCAACUUCUCCCACACUCAAGCCAUGGAAUUCUAUAUAAUCCUAUAAGAGCUGACCAUGGAGUGAAACCCACAUCCACUGGGCAAUUGGAGAUUCCAUCACUCAGCCACAAUGGUUCAUUCAGGGAGGGUUUGUUCAAGGAGGAACCUCUGCUGGAACUAUCGAGAACGAGGAGCACUAUUCACUGGUGUUUCUGAGUUGAUGAACCUGGCUUUGCCAGAGUGCUGAGGUUAAUGCAUGGAGCUGCCAAGCAUAUCCUGGGGAGCAGGUAUCCUCAGGAGUGAAGCCAGUGCUGAGUAAAGCAGAACAAAGAUGGAGCGACAGACUGAGGGACUCCAGAGACUGCUCGGCUACGUCAUGCCUGAAACCUCCAGACUUGUGAGCCAAUUCAUCUUGCUUUACCCAUUUUGUAUUGCGUUUCUGCCACAUGUAAAUGAAAAUGUCCUUAUUUAUUCAGGAAAAAACUUAAGAUAUUGCAGCCUCCUAUCUGAUGUUUCUAAUGAAAGAGUCACAUAACCAAGACUCAGACUCUUCCAGUGACAUGGAGCUCAUGUCUACUGAAGAAGCCCAUUCCAUCUUUGAGGCUUUACUACUACAAAUUCUUUCUUAUAGUUAGUGAACAUCUAUUUUCUAAAACGUUUACAACUUAUUUUGUACCCACCAGAGGCAUGGGAUCAUGUAACAUGUGACAUUUAUAAGUGUAAAAUGUGUUAUCUCAUUUAAUUUUCAAACAACCUUAUGACAUGAAAAAUAUUUUGAAAGCCCUGUGGAAAUACAGGUAAGAAAAAUUAAGGGACUGAAGAAAGGGCUGUGGAGGUGGGGAUAAAGGAUGGGUUCAGAGAUAUGGGUGUGGCAUGCAGGUAAUUGAAUGGGGGGUGAGGGAGA